GAUGAACGCUAGCGGCAGGCUUAAUACAUGCAAGUUGAGGGGCAGCAUGAUAUACGCGAGUAUAUUGAUGGCGACCGGCGGACGGGUGAGUAAUAGGUAGGAGACCUACCUCAUACAGGGGGAUAGCAUAGAGAAAUCUGUGGUAAUACCCCAUGAGGUUAUAUGAAUAGAGGCAUAUAAUCAAAGCAUAAGCGAUUAUGCGGUAUGAGAGGGGCCUACUGACCAUUAGCUAGUUGGUGAGGUAACGGCUUACCAUGGCUACGAUGUCUAGGGGUUCUGAGAGGAAGGUCCCCCAACUGGAACUGAGACACGGUCCAGACUCCUACGGGAGGCAGCAGUGAGGAAUAUUGGACAAUGGAUGGAAAUCUGAUCCAGCCAUGCCGCGUGCAGGAAGACGGCCCUAUGGGUUGUAAACUGCUUUUGAUGGGAGCAAUAAGAUCUACGUGUAGAUUGAUGAGAGUA
rnacentral:rRNA from 1 species